UUGAGCAUCUUUCAUAGAGGGGAGUUCCCUCAAAAGAAUUGAACUUGUUGUUGUGAAGUCCUAAUGUUCAUACUCAUACAAGAAACAAUCAUAAUGGUUGUGUGCUAGAAGAUACAGAGUAUAGUCAUAGAAGAUCAGUCCUUAAAAUGCAUAUUCAAACCACAGGUUCCGCAAAAAGAGAACUCUAUAGGAGCCCAGAAGCUUGAGAAAUAAAAGAGGCAUUCAUCGUAACAAAACACACUUAUUUAAAUGAUUCGAGCUGUAUUCAGGGUCUGAUUGCGUGUUGCUGCUCCUGUUUAAAUGGUUCGAGCAAGUAUAACGUCUCUAGGUGCUCGCCAACCAUGGCCAAGCCAUCGCAAGCAAUGCCGCUCCAACUACCAAGGCAAUAGGACUAGACCUUCAAAAUGCACAACUCAUCAGCACUUUAUCUCACCAAGUCACCAUGGAUAAAGCCUCUGACUCAAUGAUGCCACUCCAACUAUCAAUGCAAUAGGACCAGACCUGCAAGACACACAACACUCAUCAGCAAUUUAACUCACCAUGGAUAAAGCCUCUGACUGAAUUAUAUAUAAACUGAAAUCACAUAAUGAUAACAACAGUUAGCAUAACCUUGAGUGCCAUUGAUCGCAUUUUAGAACACGCAAAAGCCUCAUUCAGUGAAAAAAUCUAAAGAACAAAAAAACAACAGCAUGACCUGCUUAAUGACCUAAAAGAUACUAUAUCAUUUUUGUCCAUCACGGGCCUUGAACAUUUGUAUUCCUUAGUUGAUCUACUCAUCAAUUUGUGUUUGCUGAGGUAUGUAUAAUUAUUUGAAAGAUCAUCCAUGCAUGAUGUAUGAGUUGGCCACGACGCAAAGAAUAGUUAUAUCAGAGUUAAGAAAGACAAAUGAAUAAAUCAAGCUUGGGCUACGCCACUCAAAACAUAGUCUGUGUCAUAUUCAAUUAUGAUGACAUUAACUACCCAGAGUCUCCUCAUCUAGUAUCGGGAUGGAUAGCAGUUAAUGCAGAUAUUAACCCCGAUCUUGGAUGGUAAAUUAUAUUUUGGACUCCUUUCAACUAUGAAACCAAGGAAAAAAUCACGGUUAAUAAAAUGUAGAAGAUUAAAUAGCUAAUACAGUUGUGUUAAAAUAUGAUACAGGAGUAACUGUUGGGUUGCAACCUGAAACAUUCCAUCAGCGAUAAACCCUGCACCCAGUAAAAUUUGAAACAUCGCUCAAGGAAGGAGAUAAUUGGUACACUUACUUAGAAAUUGAACAGAUGAAGAAAAUUUGAUCACUUAAACAAUAAAUGAAGUAUGGUAGCUAUUAUUUCGGAUACUGGGAAGCUACAAAAUAGAACAUUACAUCAGGAAAGAAUAUGAGUCAUUUUGAUCGAAGUGUGUUAAAUUAAUCGGCCAGCAAUCUGGUGUAACCAAUAAUAGAGAUUUUAGCAGACAAUCUUUCAAAAGGAAUAGAAUAUCAUAUGCAAAUGCAUGUCAUGUGAGGGGACAAAGAAACUUAUGGAUCAUGUUGCUUGAGCAUCUUUCAUAGAGGGGAGUUCCCUCAAAAGAAUUGAACCUGCUGUUGUGAAGUCGUAAUGUUCAUACUCAUACAAGAAACAAUCAUAAUGGUUGUGUGCUAGAAGAUACAGAGUAUAGUUAUAGAAGAUCAGUCCUUAAAAUGCAUAUUCAAACCACAGGUUCCGCAAAAAGAGAACUCUAUAGGAGCCCAGGAGCUUGAGAAAUAAAAGAGGCAUUCAUCGUAACAAAACACACUUAUUUAAAUGAUUCGAGCUGUAUUCAGGGUCUGAUUGCGUGCUGCUGCUCCUGUU
rnacentral:lncRNA from 1 species